UAGCUAUUCCCAAGGUUCCAGAAAUAAUUGAAGUGUUGAUAGAUCACUUAGAAAGGUUCUACAUUACCAACUUAUAUGAUGGAGGGCUGCAUAAGCACACCAUGAAAAAUGAACAUAAGGAAAAAUAUCAAUUUAAAGUCUGGUUACAGGUCUCCAUUGCUUGUUUUGCCCACAAACCACCAACCAACCCCAGGACAGCCCUUUUGGACUAAGCCCUCCAGCCUCCUGUGCGCUGGCAUUAUAAGCUCCUGAAGACCACACCAGUGAGGGUUUGAGCAGGUUAGGAGAGACACGAGAGGCUGGUAUGCAUAGUAGAUACCUUGUGAAAAAACAUGAGUGCAGCCAUCAGUAAGCCAAGGAGAGAGGCCUGAUGAGAAACCAAAUCUGUCUGCCCCUAGCUCUUGGACUUCUAGCCUCCAGAAUGUGAACAGAUAAAUUUCUCUU